CCUACGGGAGGCAGCAGUAGGGAAUAUUGCUCAAUGGGGGAAACCCUGAAGCAGCAACGCCGCGUGGAGGAUGAAGGUUCUCGGAUUGUAAACUCCUUUUGUUAGAGAAGCUAAUGACGGAAUCUAACGAAUAAGCACCUGCUAACUCCGUGCCAGCAGCCGCGGUAAUACGGAGGGAGCAAGCGUUACUCGGGAUCACUGGGCGUAAAGAGCGUGUAGGCGGGAUAGCAAGGCAGAUGUGAAAUCCUAUGGCUUAACCAUAGGACUGCAGUUGAAACUGUUGUUCUAGAGUAUGGGAGAGGUAGGUGGAAUUCUUGGUGUAGGGGUAAAAUCCAUAGAGAUCAAGAGGAAUACUCAUUGCGAAGGCAACCUACUAGAACAUAACUGACGCUGAUGCGCGAAAGCGUGGGGAGCGAACAGGAUUAGAUACCCCUGUAGUC
rnacentral:rRNA from 1 species